GGCUUCAGACGCCCGCCCUGCCUGAGGUUUCCUUGUGUCCCGGACUCUGCUGUUUUUCUUUUGUCUAAUUUGUCCAUUUCUGCACUUGGCAAUUUCUUGGGAACUAACUUGAAUCUACUUCUCCCUUGUCUGUAAUAGUCUCUUCUCUCUCUCUCUCUCUCUCUCUCUCUCUCUCUCUCUCUCACACACACACACACACACACACACACACACACACACACACACACACACACACACUGUCUUCUUUUCUUCCUCUUAGCCAUCUCUGGGUCUUCCAGCUGGCUCUGGCCUGUCCCUGGCACCUCCCAGCUACCUACUGAUCCGACGGCGCCCAAGCCGGUAUAGGCUGGUAAGACUGCUCCCGGGAAGGAGGCUCCGGGAUGAUCCACGCGGCCGCGCCCCGCACCCACCGGCGGCGCCACGGAGACGCAGAGUUCUCCAGAUCCUCCAAGCGCCGUCGGCGCCACCACUCCAGACACUGUUCACGAGGCCUCAAAGCGUGGAGGCGGUGGCCCGGGGCCGACUCUCGGGUGACCGCCAAUUUGGUCCCAAGACACUUCAGGAUCUCGCAACGGAUGGAGGACAGCGCGGUUCCAAGAGGACAAGAGGGGAUAUAAACUGUUUGAAGUUCAUCAGCACGGUGAAGUUUUAUUGUAUUUCCGGUCCCUAAAAGAGAAGCCGGCAGCCAGGCAGACUCCCUCCUUAUCUCCGAGUUUCCACGCCAGGGACACACACGUGGCCAAGCGGACACUUGCCUUCGGGAGCAGGGAGGGAGAGAGCCCGCUCCGAUCGACUCUCCCUCACCGGCUCAGGUCCUCAACGUCUCCACUUCUUUGUAAAUGUGGAAAAGAGUGGCCUACCUGGGGCUGUCCAGCAGCUGUGAAACCAGAGUCCUAUCGUAUGCCAGCAGAGUGACUGUUUCAGCCUUAUUGUUUGUGCCCUAGAAUUCACGGUGCCUUCUAACCCUGACUUUCUCCAUCAAUUUUUUUUUCCUCAGUUC
rnacentral:lncRNA from 1 species